rnacentral:rRNA from 1 species
CACGUAGGGCGCAAGCGUUGUCCGGAAUUAUUGGGCGUAAAGAGCUCGUAGGUGGUUUGUUACGUCCGCUGUGAAAUCCUAGGGCUUAACCCUGGGCUUGCAGUGGAUACGGGCAGACUAGAGGUAGGUAGGGGAGAAUGGAAUUCCUGGUGUAGCGGUGAAAUUCGUAGAUAUUGGGAAGAACACCGGUGGCGAAGGCGGCUCACUGGCUCGUAACUGACGCUCAUGCACGACAGCGUGGGGAUCAAACAGG